UCGGGGCGGGCCGACCGGUCUGCCGAUGGGUAUGCACUGGCCGGCGCGUCCUUCCACCCGGAGACCGCGCCUACUCUUAACUGAGCGGGCGCGGGAGACGGGUCUUUUACUUUGAAAAAAUCAGAGUGUUUCAAGCAGGCAGUCGCUCUUGCAUGGAUUAGCAUGGGAUAAUGAAAUAGGACUCUGGUGCUAUUUUGUUGGUUUCGAACACCGGAGUAAUGAUUAACAGGGACAGUCAGGGGCACUCGUAUUCCGCCGAGAGAGGUGAAAUUCUCAGACCAGCGGAAGACGAACCACUGCGAAAGCAUUUGCCAGGGAUGUUUUCACUGAUCAAGAACGAAAGUUAGGGGAUCGAAGACGAUCAGAUACCGUCGUAGUCUUAACCAUAAACCAUGCCGACUAGGGAUUGGAGGAUGUUCCAUUUGUGACUCCUUCAGCACCUUUCGGGAAACUAAAGUCUUUGGGUUCCGGGGGGAGUAUGGUCGCAAGGCUGAAACUUAAAGGAAUUGACGGAAGGGCACCACCAGGAGUGGAGCCUGCGGCUUAAUUUGACUCAACACGGGGAAACUUACCAGGUCCAGACAUUGUGAGGAUUGACAGAUUGAGAGCUCUUUCUUGAUUCGAUGGGUGGUGGUGCAUGGCCGUUCUUAGUUGGUGGAGUGAUUUGUCUGGUUAAUUCCGUUAACGAACGAGACCGCAGCCUGCUAAAUAGCGACGCG
rnacentral:rRNA from 1 species